rnacentral:rRNA from 1 species
CAGGAUGAACGCUGGCGGCUGUGCUUAACACAUGCAAGUCGAACGAACCUUCGGGUUAGUGGCGGACGGGUGAGUAACGCGUGAGAAUCUGCCCUCAGGAGGGGGAUAACGGUUGGAAACGACCGCUAAUACCCCAUAUGCCGAGAGGUGAAAUGAAAUUCGCCUGAGGAUGAGCUCGCGUCUGAUUAGCUAGUUGGUGUGGUAAUGGCGCACCAAGGCUUCGAUCAGUAGCUGGUCUGAGAGGAUGAUCAGCCACACUGGGACUGAGACACGGCCCAGACUCCUACGGGAGGCAGCAGUGGGGAAUUUUCCGCAAUGGGCGCAAGCCUGACGGAGCAACGCCGCGUGAGGGAUGAAGGCCUCUGGGCUGUAAACCUCUUUUCUCAAGGAAGAAGAUCUGACGGUACUUGAGGAAUAAGCCACGGCUAAUUCCGUGCCAGCAGCCGCGGUAAUACGGGAGUGGCAAGCGUUAUCCGGAAUUAUUGGGCGUAAAGCGUCCGCAGGCGGCCUCGAAAGUCUGUCGUUAAAGCGUGGAGCUUAACUCCAUUUAAGCGGUGGAAACUACGAGGCUAGAGUGUGGUAGGGGCAGAGGGAAUUCCCGGUGUAGCGGUGAAAUGCGUAGAUAUCGGGAAGAACACCAGUGGCGAAGGCGCUCUGCUGGGCCAUAACUGACGCUCAUGGACGAAAGCCAGGGGAGCGAAAGGGAUUAGAUACCCCUGUAGUCCUGGCCGUAAACGAUGAACACUAGGUGUCGGGGGAAUCGACCCCCUCGGUGUCGUAGCCAACGCGUUAAGUGUUCCGCCUGGGGAGUACGCACGCAAGUGUGAAACUCAAAGGAAUUGACGGGGGCCCGCACAAGCGGUGGAGUAUGUGGUUUAAUUCGAUGCAACGCGAAGAACCUUACCAGGGUUUGACAUCCUGCGAAUCCCUUGGAAACGAGGGAGUGCCUUCGGGAGCGCAGUGACAGGUGGUGCAUGGCUGUCGUCAGCUCGUGUCGUGAGAUGUUGGGUUAAGUCCCGCAACGAGCGCAACCCACGUUUUUAGUUGCCAGCAUUUAGUUGGGCACUCUAGAAAGACUGCCGGUGAUAAACCGGAGGAAGGUGUGGAUGACGUCAAGUCAUCAUGCCCCUUACAUCCUGGGCUACACACGUACUACAAUGCUACGGACAAAGGGCAGCAAACUCGCGAGAGCUAGCAAAUCCCAUAAACCGUGGCUCAGUUCAGAUCGUAGGCUGCAACUCGCCUACGUGAAGGCGGAAUCGCUAGUAAUCGCAGGUCAGCAUACUGCGGUGAAUACGUUCCCGGGCCUUGUACACACCGCCCGUCACACCAUGGAAGUUGGCCACGCCCGAAGUCGUUACUCCAACCCUUGUGGAGGAGGACGCCGAAGGUGGGGCUGAUGACUGGGGUGAAGUCGUA